UAGCUUAGUUGGUAGAGCACCCGCUUAGUAAGCGGGAGGUCGUCGGUUCAACUCCGGC
rnacentral:tRNA from 1 species